AUUGAACGCUGGCGGCAGGCCUAACACAUGCAAGUCGAACGAGUGGCGGACGGGUGAGUAAUGUCUGGGAAACUGCCCGAUGGAGGGGGAUAACUACUGGAAACGGUAGCUAAUACCGCAUACCAUCAGAUGUGCCCAGAUGGGAUUAGCUGGUAGGUGGGGUAACGGCUCACCUAGGCGACGAUCCCUAGCUGGUCUGAGAGGAUGACCAGCCACACUGGAACGGAGACACGUUCCAGACUCCUACGGGAGGCAGCAGUGGGGAAUAUUGCACAAUGGGCGCAAGCCUGAUGCAGCCAUGCCGCGUGUAUGAAGAAGGCCUUCGGGUUGUAAAGCACGUUCAGCGGGGAGGCGUUACCCGCAGAAGAAGCACCGGCUAACUCCGUGCCAGCCGCCGCGGUAAUAC
rnacentral:rRNA from 1 species